rnacentral:lncRNA from 1 species
UGAAAUGGCACUCGCGAGGAUUUUGAAUUGCUUGACAGAGAAUCUGAUAACCUGGUUAAUGGCGUCCUCCAAGAUCACCUUCUCAUCCGGAGAACUAGAAGCAGAAGUUGAAGCUGAAGAAGUAGCAUUGGGAAAUUCCGGCUUGGAUUCCUUGUUCGAAGAAAGCAUGAAGCGGCUCAUUGUAGCAUCCAAAUCGGCCACCUGAGAAAUUAAUGUUUCGAUAAAGGUUAAGGUUUGAAGAUUUUGGGAUUGGGAGAGAGUCGGAGAGGAGGAUGAAAACGAUGCUAUAUAUCCAAUUAUUAUCCCAUAUCAGAUAACUAAUUAUUCCUUGUUUGGAUUGUGCGAUUUGUUGAAGAAAAG